rnacentral:rRNA from 1 species
AUUGAACGCUGGCGGCAUGCCUUACACAUGCAAGUCGAACGGCAGCACGGGAGCAAUCCUGGUGGCGAGUGGCGAACGGGUGAGUAAUAUAUCGGAACGUGCCCAGUCGUGGGGGAUAACGCAGCGAAAGCUGUGCUAAUACCGCAUACGAUCUAUGGAUGAAAGCGGGGGAUCGCAAGACCUCGCGCGAUUGGAGCGGCCGAUAUCAAAUUAGCUAGUUGGUGGGGUAAAGGCCCACCAAGGCGACGAUCUGUAGCUGGUCUGAGAGGACGACCAGCCACACUGGAACUGGGCCACGGUCCAGACUCCUACGGGAGGCAGCAGUGGGGAAUUUUGGACAAUGGGCGCAAGCCUGAUCCAGCAAUGCCGCGUGCAGGAUGAAGGCCUUCGGGUUGUAAACUGCUUUUGUACGGAACGAAACGGUCCUUUCUAAUACAGGGGGCUAAUGACGGUACCGUAAGAAUAAGCACCGGCUAACUACGUGCCAGCAGCCGCAGUAA